CAUGCGUACUGAGAGGGAUAUCCGGAAUGAAAUGGUUCUCCAUGAGAGCCACAAGCGAACAUUCAACAACUUGAAAACUGGAUUGAAAAUGAGAGACAGAGCAGCCACUGCAGAAGCUUCCAAAAUCACUCUGCACUUUCUUGAACUGCUGCAAUCCACGUGGUGAUGUAGCUCCCAUGUUGCAAAUUGGAUGCUGUUCAGUUUCUGUCAACGUUCUGAGUCCUCGAAUUUCAACAGGACUGCCACUUCCAUACUAUCUUCAGAGCUUCUCUACCCCACCGUCAGCUCACAGCUGGGUCAGUGUCUUGUUGUUAUUGCAGCAAGUCCGUGAGGGUCUCCAAAAACGAACUUGACAUUUGGCGCAAGAGCAGGGUUCCAACAUGUACAGCAGUCUCACCUGGAGGGCUGAAUAAGUGAUCGUUCGAGUGUCAGUGGAGUCAGACAGAUGGGCCCGCAAGAUGUAUUCAGUAGGUGGAUAGAGGCUUUCCCAAAGACAAACAACAAAGCCUCAACACUAGUAAAACUGUUAUUAACUGAAAUAGUACCAAGGUUUGGAGUACCGCGACAAAUUAGUUCGGAAGACGGCUCUCACAUUGUGGGGAAAAUUAAUAAGGAACUGUGUGGUACAUUACACAUCCAACAACGAUUCCACUGUGCCUACCACCCUCGGGCAGCAGGGAUAGUAGAGAGAGCUAAUGCAACACUUAAAACCAAACUCACCAAGUUGACACCCGAAACCGGCCUUAAUUGGUUAAAGGUUUUGCCACGAGCCUUGUAUCACAUGCGAAUAACACCCCACUCUACUACUGGGCUCUCAGCAGCGGGAAUAGUCUAUGACUGACCCAGCAGAACAACAUGGGAUGCCAAUACCAGCCCACCCAGCAAAACAGACCUAAAUGUGAUGGGAGAAGAAAUGCGAAGACACUUCUGACAACUAACAUCAUCUUGAAAGUUUCUCCAUUUGCCGGUGAAGUGCGCCUUCGGACCACCUCCGCAGACACCGGAACAAGGCCUCGAGAUUCAGGAUCGAUCAUCAUGGCCGCAGAUUGGAGAUUUUGUACUUGUCCGGGACUGGGGUCGCCCCAAGGUGGAAAGGACCGUACCAAGUGUUUCUUCAGACUCCGACAGCUCUUAAAGUUAAAGGACAGAAUCGCUGGAUCCACUUAAGUGACUCUAAAUGAUGGAUUUCCUCAUCGGCAUGCAGUUAACCAUUGGACUGAGUAUUAGUCUGACCAUGCAUGGCCAGCAGGACAAUUUUGUUUUAUAAAACACACAUACGGCUGCACGGGAAUCGGACAGCAUGUUACCCGUUGGCACGAUCUGUAGAAGCAUUAUUUGUGGCAACAUCUGCCUGGAACCCUAGUCAGCUUUAUGAAAUAGAGUAUUCCGGUAAGCCUUGCUGAAGGGAGAGGGGAUCUUGGACACAGGUGUGCAGGGUACAUGUGUGAAACUGGUAGUUAGUGGUCUCUCUGGUUGUGUGGACACUCGACCUGGGCAUGGGAAGGAAGGGGCUAGCUGUACAAAUCCCAACAGCUAUCUGUUUUGCUUUAAUGGAACUGGAACUUGUUGCGUGCCUGCUCUCGUUACUCAUCACCCCCAAAAUACUUCCUGGCCCCAUCGGUGCAUAAAGAGAAAUUGCACCACUAUAGGAGAAUUGUUGAAUUGCCCCUGCUUAGAAUCUAAGCCCAUAUCUGUGACCCCGGGCAUACAGUAGAGUUGUGGGGAUUGCAAUGGCACUCAUGUAGAAACAGACUAUGGGUCAUUUCCAUUUAACUCCGCAAGUUUCCAUCCACGUAAGGAUCAGUCCUCCUGGCACAGCUAUCAAGAAAUACGUGAGUCUGUUUGCCUUCUUAACGAGACCUUCACUGCUACCACUCCAACUCUGCCAGUGCUGUUUGCUGUUGGGACCAUUGAGCCCCUCACUGUCCCUUGUCCCCAACAAGUACAAAUUCAAUGGCGAAUUGUCACACGAUUCCUGAGCUGGGGGUUUUGCGCUGCAUGGCAGAAUCCAGUUGUGUUGGGCUCUUCCUUAGGAUAUGGUUUCCUGGGACUGUCGGCUUGGGAUGCUCUCCUGGGGUGGUGGCCACAAAGGAAAAUUCGAAAUUACCUUGUAUGUUGACUCACCGCCCUGGGAAACAGCACAAUGACGGCAUUGGAGGCAGUCAACCAAGAAUUAGCCGAACUUUGGCUCUAUGAUCAGCAAACCCAAUAUGCAGUGGACUAUCAGCUGGCUCAGCAAGGAGGUGUAUGCACUAUUAAUGGGGACAAGUGCAUUACCCACGUCACCAACGAGUCCUAUAACAUUACCCAGGCUAUCCAAGCCAUACAGGGGCAGUUGGAACAGUACAGUGAGGGAGUCCAGCCUGGACAGGGUUUGUUGGGAUGGCUUCUGGGUGGUUCUUGGGGUUCAUAUUUGCUGCAUGGGUCAGUUGUUCUAGUGGUUGACAUAGCUGCCUGCUGUACAUUUAUGGCAUGCAUGAGCCCUUGCUGCAGAUUUGUGUUUGACAGGUUAGCAGCUCUCCUCUCGGCCCUGUUAUAAGUUAUCAUGAAAUGAUAGAAGGAGGGAAUGAGCUGUUAAUGUGAUAACAUCUCAUUGAUUUCUAUACUUCUAUAAAUUAAAGUCUUUGUAUAGGAAUCAAAUGCAGAUAAGAGACUUUAAUCUAUAGAAGUAAACUCUUAUCUACCGAAACAUAGGUAUGCAUGCACUGCCCUGAAGCUUCCUGCCCAGCUAGGAAUUCAGUGUAAAGCUUUUGUAACUCCUUUUCUUCUCACACAUCGGUAUGCAGACACUGUCUUAAGCUUCCUGACUGAAUUAAAAUUAGAACCAAACUGUUUCAAAUAGGGUUAGGUGGGGAAAAUUUGUAAAGGUAUGAAACCUCUGAAGCAUGUAACUCCUGUCGCUGGCAACGGGGCCAGGGCACUGAUUUGGUUCUAGCCAGACACACUGGCAACUUGAAAUCAGAAUCUGUCCCGGACAGCAACUUGAAAUCGCCUCUUGCCAUUAGCAGCUACUUCACAAGCAAUCGCUACUGUAUCCUGGUCUUUUAUGUUGUUGAUGUAAUAAUUGCUUGGUAUCCUGUUUUUGUCUGUUUGUAGUAAUUGUUUUAUGUAUCGUGUCAUGGUAAAUUGUGAAAUCGUUUUCUGUAUCAUGUCUUUUGUAAAGUAUAAAAAGCGGGGACUGUCCGCUGCUCGGGGAGAAUUGCUUGCGAGACUCUGCACUCUGUGCUGGGUAACUACAGUGAUUCUCCACAGCUUGUACUUGCUUGGUAACAAAGGGAUUUGUGUUUUUUUCUAAACAGGUCACUGUCUUGUUAUUGCAGCAAGUCUGUGAGGGUCUCCGAAAACAAAAUUGACAUGUGACACAGAAAUAAGAGGAGGCCAUUCAGCCUUUCG